rnacentral:rRNA from 1 species
AGACCCGAAACCCGGUGAUCUAGCCAUGGGCAGGUUGAAGGUUGGGUAACACUAACUGGAGGACCGAACCGACUAAUGUUGAAAAAUUAGCGGAUGACCUGUGGCUGGGGGUGAAAGGCCAAUCAAACCGGGAGAUAGCUGGUUCUCCCCGAAAGCUAUUUAGGUAGCGCCUCGUGAAUUCAUCUCCGGGGGUAGAGCACUGUUUCGGCUAGGGGGCCAUCCCGGCUUACCAACCCGAUGCAAACUGCGAAUACCGGAGAAUGUUAUCACGGGAGACACACGGCGGGUGCUAACGUCCGUCGUGAAGAGGGAAACAACCCAGACCGCCAGCUAAGGUCCCAAAGUCAUGGUUAAGUGGGAAACGAUGUGGGAAGGCCCAGACAGCCAGGAUGUUGGCUUAGAAGCAGCCAUCAUUUAAAGAAAGCGUAAUAGCUCACUGGUCGAGUCGGCCUGCGCGGAAGAUGUAACGGGGCUAAACCAUGCACCGAAGCUGCGGCAGCGACGCUGAUGCGUUGUUGGGUAGGGGAGCGUUCUGUAAGCCUGCGAAGGUGGCCUGUGAGGGUUGCUGGAGGUAUCAGAAGUGCGAAUGCUGACAUAAGUAACGAUAAAGCGGGUGAAAAGCCCGCUCGCCGGAAGACCAAGGGUUCCUGUCCAACGUUAAUCGGGGCAGGGUGAGUCGACCCCUAAGGCGAGGCCGAAAGGCGUAGUCGAUGGGAAACGGGUUAAUAUUCCCGUAC